rnacentral:rRNA from 1 species
ACGGAUAACAUACCGAAAGGUAUGCUAAUACGGGAUAAUAUAUUUGAGAGGCAUCUCUUAAAUAUCAAAGGUGAGCCAGUACAGGAUGGACCCGCGUCUGAUUAGCUAGUUGGUAAGGUAACGGCUUACCAAGGCGACGAUCAGUAGCCGACCUGAGAGGGUGAUCGGCCACAUUGGAACUGAGACACGGUCCAAACUCCUACGGGAGGCAGCAGUGGGGAAUAUUGCACAAUGGGCGAAAGCCUGAUGCAGCAACGCCGCGUGAGUGAUGAAGGCCUUCGGGUCGUAAAACUCUGUCCUCAAGGAAGAUAAUGACGGUACUUGAGGAGGAAGCCCCGGCUAACUACGUGCCAGCAGCCGCGGUAAUACGUAGGGGGCUAGCGUUAUCCGGACUUACUGGGCGUAAAGGGUGCGUAGGCGGUCUUUCAAGUCAGGAGUGAAAGGCUACGGCUCAACCGUAGUAAGCUCUUGAAACUGGGAGACUUGAGUGCAGGAGAGGAGAGUGGAAUUCCUAGUGUAGCGGUGAAAUGCGUAGAUAUUAGGAGGAACACCAGUUGCGAAGGCGGCUCUCUGGACUGUAACUGACGCUGAGGCACGAAAGCGUGGGGAGCAAACAGGAUUAGAUACCCUGGUAGUCCACGCUGUAAACGAUGAGUACUAGGUGUCGGGGGUUACCCCCCUCGGUGCCGCAG